GUCGUGGGAUUACAGCCAAGAGGUUGUAAGGGCUCUCUUUGAAUCCAGCCCGGAAGGAUGGUUCAUUGCUGAGAUGCAAGGGAAAGUUGUAGGUGUGAUGAUGGUGUUUAACAUAAACGAGGAGGAGGCCCAUGGAGGAAUGUGGAUCGUCAGUAAGCUGUGGCGUGGACACCGUAUUGGACCAGGCACAGGUGCCGUGCAGUCGUGAGACCUGUGGCGGAGGGAGCUACUGACUAUGAGCGGUGCAGAAAUUAACUAUAGAUUUGUGAAUGUUUAACGAAGCACAGUGUGCCUCGGAUCCUGGUACGGCAGAAGACAAAUCAAGAUGGAGUUUUCUUAAAAAAAACAAACUCAAGAACUGAUCAUUAUCAUUAUUAUUUUAUUACCCUUUUAAAAAGAUUUUCG